AUGGCCGGCGCGGAGAGGGAGAGGAGAAAGAUGCCGCUGCCGCCGGCGCUGCCCCUGGCCACGCUGAUCGGGCGCGAGCUCCGCGCGGGGGGCUCCGAGCGCCCGGCGCUGCGCUACGGCCACGCCGGCUUCGCCAAGCGCGGGGAGGACUACUUCCUCGUCAAGCCUGACUGCCUCCGCGUCCCCGGCGACCCCUCCACCGCCUUCUCCGUCUUCGCCGUGUUCGACGGCCACAACGGGGUGUCGGCGGCGGUGUUCAGCAAGGAGCACCUGCUGGAGCACGUGAUGAGCGCGCUCCCGCCGGACAUCGGCAGCCGCGAGGACUGGCUGCAGGCGCUGCCCCGCGCGCUCGUCGCCGGCUUCGUCAAGGCCGACAUCGACUUCCAGCGCAAGGGGGAGGUGUCGGGGACGACGGCUACGCUGGUGGUCGUCGACGGGUUCACGGUCACCGUGGCGUCGGUCGGCGAUUCCCGGUGCAUCCUGGACACGCAGGGCGGCGAGCUGCAGCUGCUAACCGUCGACCACAGGCUGGAGGAGAACGUCGAGGAGAGGGAGCGUGUCACGGCGAGCGGUGGGGAGGUCGGCCGUCUGAAUCUCUUCGGCGGUCAGGAGGUUGGCCCUCUCCGUUGUUGGCCAGGUGGUUUGUGCCUCUCAAGAUCCAUUGGCGACAUGGAUGUUGGGGAGUACAUUGUGCCGGUUCCACAUGUCAAGCAAGUGAAGCUCUCAAGUGUCGGAGGAAGGCUGAUAAUGGCAUCUGAUGGCAUAUGGGAUGCGCUAUCCAAUGAGGCAGCAGCCAAGUCAUGCCGAGGAUUGCCCGCAGAACUCGCUGCAAAGCUUGUGGUUAAGCAAGCUCUGAAAAAAUGUGGGCUGAAAGAUGAUACCACCUGUGUGGUGGUUGACAUCAUCCCAUCUGAUCAUCAUUUGACAUCGCCACAGUUAUCCCCAAAGAGAAAUCAGAACAAGCUCAAGUCUCUUCUUUUUCGUAGAAGGUCACACAGUUCAGUUGGAAAGUUUGGAGGCAAGUCCGCCUCUAUUGGUUCCGUGGAGGAGUUAUUUGAAGAAGGCUCUGCAAUGUUGGAAGAAAGGUUGGGUAGGAAUCUGUCCUUGAAAGCAGCUUCGCCGCCUUCUCGCUGUGCGAUCUGCCAAGUGGACCAAGAACCAUUUGAAGGCUUGAUGGAGGAGAAUGGAGGUAGCCACUGCUCUUCUCCAUACGCGCCUUGGGGAGGCCCGUAUCUUUGUCUGGAGUGUCGGAAAAAGAAGGACGCGAUGGAGGGCAAGAGACCGAGCUGCUCGACAGCAUGUAGGUGA
rnacentral:rRNA from 1 species